AGAUGAAGAAGGGAAGUCACUUGCUUCAUGGCCAGGGAAGGGCUCCAGCAAGACAUGGGCUCCUGAAAGUGGCAGUGUGUGAAGGCCCCGAGAGGCACAGGACCUGUCCCCCCACCCUCCUUGGAUUGCAGCAAGGAAAGAGGUGUGUCUUCUGCAGAAAAAUGUGCAUGUUCUUUUAGAUGUGUGGCCUCAGAGCAAGUUAUUUAGCCUGCCUCUAUGUGCUCACCUGGAAAAUGGGGUGAUGAAGAUGAUGAUGAUGAUAAUGGGAACUCCCUCUUGGAGCUGCUGUGCAGAUGAAUUUUCCUUCUAACAGUCAGGCCCUUCUGCUGCAAGUCUGCUGGAGUUUUCUGGAGGUCCUCUCCAGACCCUGUUUGCCUGGGUAUCACCAGAGGAGGCUGCAGAACAGCAAAGAUUGCUGCCUGUUCCUUCCUCUGGAAGCUUCGUCCCAGAGAGGCACCCACCAGAUGCCAACUGGAGCUUUUCUGUAUGAGGAAAAGUGGGCAAGUUUUGAGUUCAACCUGAGGCCUCAAGGAUGUGUGCAACCCAUGGUACUUGAAUUUACUUAUUCACUGUUUUUUUGGAAAUUCUUAUUUCCCAAAACUCGUGGAAGGAGCUGACUUCUGGCAGGAAAUGUGGAACUGGCAGCGUGUCGUGCAAGCAUCUGCAAUCCCAGUCCUGAGUUGGACUUCUCAGAGAGGCUGGGCAUUAUUUAUGGAGACGUCGGAGUGACAGGGGAACUUCUGGCCAGGAACUGCCGGUGGUGUCACAUCCUUAACCUGGCUGACAUCGGAACACCCUGGGGGGAGCAUUUCUCCAGGAAAGGAUGGUGGGUCAUGAGCCCCCAUGGUGUCUUUUCAAAGCAAUAAUAAAGAUAUCAGAAGGG